rnacentral:rRNA from 1 species
AUUGAACGCUGGCGGCAGGCCUAACACAUGCAAGUCGAGCGGCAGCGGGAAAGUAGCUUGCUACUUUUGCCGGCGAGCGGCGGACGGGUGAGUAAUGCCUGGGAAAUUGCCCAGUCGAGGGGGAUAACAGUUGGAAACGACUGCUAAUACCGCAUACGCCUUACGGGGGAAAGCAGGGGACCUUCGGGCCUUGCGCGAUUGGAUAUGCCCAGGUGGGAUUAGCUAGUUGGUGAGGUAAUGGCUCACCAAGGCGACGAUCCCUAGCUGGUCUGAGAGGAUGAUCAGCCACACUGGAACUGAGACACGGGCCAGACUCCUACGGGAGGCAGCAGUGGGGAAUAUUGCACAAUGGGGGAAACCCUGAUGCAGCCAUGCCGCGUGUGUGAAGAAGGCCUUCGGGUUGUAAAGCACUUUCAGCGAGGAGGAAAGGUCAGUAGCUAAUAUCUGCUGACUGUGACGUUACUCGCAGAAGAAGCACCGGCUAACUCCGUGCCAGCCGCCGCAGUAAAAC